rnacentral:rRNA from 1 species
UACAGAGGGUGCGAGCGUUGUUCGGAAUUACUGGGCGUAAAGCGCGCGCAGGCGGCCACUUAAGUCCGCUGGUGAAAGACCGGGGCUCAACCCCGUGUCAGCCAGGGAUACUGGGUGGCUGGAGACAGGUAGAGGCAAGCGGAAUUCCGGGUGUAGCGGUGGAAUGCGUAGAUAUCAAGAGGAACACCUGAGGUGAAGACGGGUUGCUGGGCUGACACUGACGCUGAGGCGCGAAAGCCAGGGGAGCAAACGGG